rnacentral:rRNA from 1 species
CCUACGGGAGGCAGCAGUGAGGAAUAUUGGUCAAUGGGCGCGAGCCUGAACCAGCCAAGUCGCGUGAGGGAAGACGGUCCUAUGGAUUGUAAACCUCUUUUGUCGGGGAGCAAAAGACGCCACGCGUGGCGUUCCGAGAGUACCCGAAGAAAAAGCAUCGGCUAACUCCGUGCCAGCAGCCGCGGUAAUACGGAGGAUGCGAGCGUUAUCCGGAUUUAUUGGGGUUAAAGGGUGCGCAGGGGGAAGAUCAAGCCAGCGGUAAAAUUGAGAGGCUCAACCUCUUCGAGCCGUUGAAACUGGUUUUCUUGAGUGAGCGAGAAGUAUGCGGAAUGCGUGGUGUAGCGGUGAAAUGCAUAGAUAUCACGCAGAACUCCGAUUGCGAAGGCAGCAUACCGGCGCUCAACUGACGCUCAUGCACGAAAGUGUGGGUAGCGAACAGGAUUAGAUACCCUGGUAGUC